GACAGAGGGUGCAAACGUUGUUCGGAAUUAUUGGGCGUAAAGCGCGUGUAGGCGGUGAUGCAUGUCGGGUGUGAAAGCCCCCAGCUUAACUGGGGAAGUGCGCCCGAAACUGCAUCGCUAGAGUGUCGGAGAGGGUGGCGGAAUUCCCGGUGUAGAGGUGAAAUUCGUAGAUAUCGGGAGGAACACCAGUGGCGAAGGCGGCCACCUGGACGAACACUGACGCUGAGACGCGAAAGCGUGGGUAGCAAACAGG
rnacentral:rRNA from 1 species